AUGGGCAGGGGGCGUGGCUGUGGGAACUGCAGUACCAGACCCGCUGCCGUGUCCUUUUUCCGUUCCAGAGGUUUGCAGCUGCCACCUGACAUAAACUUGCUGGAGCAGGCAGAAGAGCUCAAGGGUUUUGAGAGGAGGAUUACUGAAUAUAUUCAUUUUUUUGCAACCCACAACUGGACAUUGGAGAAUGCUCCUUAUAGUGGUAUCUGUCUGUACAGCUACUGGUACCUGGAACUGGUUGAUAGAUCCUGAUACACAAAAGGUGUCCUUCUUCACAUCCUUAUGGAAUCACACAUUUUUCACCAUUUGCUGUAUCACUCUAAUAGGCUUGUUCUUUGCUGGAAUACACAAGACAGUAGUUGCAUCAUCAAUUAUAGCUGCUCAAUGUCAAACAGUAUUAGCAGAAUACAAUACUUCUUGUAAUGAUACAGGAAAACUAAUUUUGAAAUGUAGGCCUCAUGUUCAAUGACAAUCUUCACUCAUUGUUGAGACUUAAAACAGCCUUUCUUCAAAUAAGUGAUACAGCAAAAAGCCAUAAAGGAUUCCUUUUGCAGUUGGAUAUGUAAAGGUCAUAGCAACAACUGACAAGAAGUGUGCAAUACUUACCCAGAUUAUGUUGAUGAUGAUGACUCACAUUAUCAGUGCUUUGGUACCUUUUAUUACCUGUGUUUCAGUAUUAGUGUCACUUUAGUUCUUCAGAUCCUGCAAAAAUUUUUGUAGAUGAAGUAUGUAUGUACGUUACGAAG